rnacentral:lncRNA from 1 species
AUCAUGGUGGUAGUUGUGAGACCGAAUAAUAGGAUCGAUGGUUGUACUAUCAAGGGGGGCUCUCAAGUGAAUAGCUUGAUCAUAUCGUUUGUUGAGAGCUCAAACCAUUGAUAUCCUUCCAUCAUCUUUAUUGGUUCUUGUUUGGUGUUUCUCUUUGUGAGAUUUGGAGCUUAUGUUCAUCUUCAUGACAAGCUCGAGUUCAUCGACAACGGAGUUCGUAUGCAUCUUCUACGAUGUUUUCAAUGUUGGAUUUUAUGUCGGUGCUUCUCUGAUGGAGGCUUCACUCCUCUAUAUCAUAGGCAUACCC